rnacentral:lncRNA from 1 species
AAAUUAUUUUCAGCUAUUUUAAUUAAUCAAAUAGGGAAAAUGGCUAUUUAAAAUCUAGCUCAUUCCUAUUUCAAUUUUAGCCCAAGUAGACCUCAUCUUAAAGCCAAUUGCAAUCCCAAUUAGAUGACCCAAUUCUCAUUUAACCCGACCCAAACCUAAUUAAUCUAACCCGCCCGCUUCCCAUCUUUAGAUCCUGGCCGUUGAUUAUUUUAAUCAACGGCCCUCGUUGUUUAUUUCCUUAUUAAUUCUGCCCCAACCCCUAACCCUAAUAAUUUCUCCAAAUUAGCGGCCCCCAAAUUCUCUCAUCCUCUCAAACUCUCUCUAGACCACUUGAAACCCUAGCCGCAUAUAUCGUCGUCUUCGAUCAGUUCUUACCGACGUCCAUGGCUUCCCAGUCCUUGGACGGCCUAUACCCUCUUCGCUUCACCCCGGAAAAGUAUUAUUUGAAACUUUCUAGAUCCGUUCUUCAACAGACUUAUUCAGGUCCUCCGCCGACCUGAUCUCCUCUGGUUUCUCCGACUCCGUCCCAGCAGGCUCAAGCUCUGAAAAGCUCAGCCAUGGCCCAGACUUGUUCAAAGACCAGAUCGUUCCAGGCCUUCUUGUUUUUAGAGUUUUCUAGAAACCCUAAAAAGCUUGUUCGAGGUUUUUCUUCCCUUGUCUUCUUAGAUCUGUAACAGAUCUGUGCUCUAUUCAACGUUUUAAUGAUUUUCCCUAAUUUUCCCUUUCAAAAUUAGUCUGUUCAAAACUAAGGUUUUCAAAAAAAAUCCUAAAACGAUUCUUCUUCUUCUUUCUUUCUUUAUGUGAAUCUGUGUGUUCGUGCCAUGACAUACGUGUUUUCGUCUAUUUUUAUGCAUGUUUUACUCCGUUAUUGCUUCUACUGGUUUUUACAAGUAUUAUUUACACGUUUAUCUUGCAUGACUUUCUGCUAUUUCUCCUACUAAUAUUGUUUGCCUCUAAUGGAUUCAUUUGGUUUCUAACUUGCUUCUUUUACUGAAACUCUAUGGCAUCUCUUUUCUCUUCUGACUUCACUUGAGUUCUGAGCUUUCUCUUAAGUUUGUCCUUUGCGAUUUUGUCACUCUUCUAUUUCUAACUUGCUACGUGUGUUUUUGUAUCCCUAGGACUAUUGUAAGGGCUUGCCUUCUCCUUUAUGUGUCGUACUCGGACUAAAGCCCUGUGUUAGUGAUUUUUGCAAGCUUUUGGUUCUAGGGUUCUACUCUGGAAACCCUAGGCUCUCAAAUCGUAUUCAGUUUAUAAAUUGAGUUGAAACUUGCUUUUAGCUCGUGGUUUUGAACUUUUCUGUGCCAAUCUUUCUUUCUUGCUUGAUACUAGCCUGCUUAUAUACGAGGGUUUUGUUUUCUGAAUUGAUUAUGUUAACUUGUGAUUGGUUUCAAUCUCCAUUUACUAAGGCUCGACUGAUUUGCUAUUGAUUUUUUUAACUUAACCUCUUCCCCUCUUUUCAUGAAUAAGUUCAUUCAAGACUUUAAUAUUUCUAACUAUUUGAUUACUGUAUUUUCCUUAUUCUCUCAAAACCGCGUACUGUUGACUUCUUACCUUAAAUAGACUAUAUGAACUUGCCAAUAUUAUGCUACUCUGAAUAGGGUUUUACUAUUUUUUCUUUCCUUAAUUACUCAUUCCUGUUUGAAAUCAAAUCCCUUUGACUAAGGGAGAUCUUGUCUGAUUGACAAAAAUUUAUUUCCUUGCCUUUUUGUUUACUCGUAUUUGUACUAUAAAAAGGGACAACCUUUUCAACUCUAGAGAGCUCUCGAACACAGUUCUUUUCUGCAGUUUUGCAAUAUACAAUCACAUGUCUUCGAAAUAUACUGGCUACUACUCUCUUUACUACUACUUUCUCUACUAAUGCUUUCUCUACUAAUACUGAGUAUUUUACUCCUUUCUCUCCUACUGUCUAAAUAUUCUGGAGUUCCUCUGAACUCCCAAGUGCUUGCAAAAGUUUUUAAGUUGUUCUUGUUAACUGUCUGUUGUCUAUUUGCUGUUGUUUCUCUAUUGUACUAGAACUAAAAACCGGUAUGUAUUUCUAGUUAAAUAACACUCUCCAACUAUGUGUGUUCACUUCUCUUCUUCUACACAUUCUUAACUAUGUGUUUAUUUUCUGUAACUGCAGCAUGUUCUGUUCUUCUGCCAUGUCCUUGCCCUGCUAUGCUUUCUUAUAUUUCCCUUAAUGUCAAUAUAUGCUUUUCCCUUCCCUCUAUUCCCUUUUUGUGAUUUAGUACUGUUCUGAAUCAUGGCAGCAUCUGAUAUUGCUGUCCACGAUCCAGAAUCAGUCUCUCCUGAGUCUCUACUUAAAUGUUUUCCCAUUCCCUCUCCCUUUUAUGUGUUGAGCUUUAACUUGGGUCUGUUAGUGUCCUAAUCACCACUCAGACCCUAAGUUUGACUCCCCAGAGUCUGCUCCUACUAAGCAAAGGGUCAGGGGUGUGACAGCCUAUGCCAUGGCUUGGUAUGACCACCCUCUGCUAUGGUUCCUCCCUCACUUUGCACUCAUUCCUAGUUCCUAAGUUCUAACCCCCUUUGGUAGGCCAUGCUUUGGGACCCUGGAGUUCCCUCUGAACUUGGAUGCCUAAGGUCUGGUAAUUCCACACUUGCACUACUCUAUUAUGACUGUGUUCAGAGUGUAAGCAUUUCCUGGGGCUCUUGAAACUCCUUGGAACUUUGUGUCGAAACACGUUCUCAAUACAUACUAAACGUGUGUUCAUAUUUGUAGGUUUUGAUAAAUGACAAACGACGAGCAAUUGACAUAUGACGAGGUCCAAGCACAAGCGCGCAAUUGACACAUAACGAGGUUCAAGCACAAGACGAACAAAGAUCAUGAUCAAGCANNN